UACGUAGGGUGCGAGCGUUAAUCGGAAUUACUGGGCGUAAAGCGUGCGCAGGCGGUUUUGUAAGCCAGAUGUGAAAUCCCCGGGCUUAACCUGGGAAUGGCAUUUGGGACUGCAAGGCUGGAGUGCGGCAGAGGAGACUGGAAUUCCUGGUGUAGCAGUGAAAUGCGCAGAUAUCAGGAGGAACACCGGUGGCGAAGGCGGUCCAC
rnacentral:rRNA from 1 species